rnacentral:tRNA from 1 species
GACACAGUCGCAUAGUGGCUAUUGCGUUGGCCUGCUAAGCCAAUUCCCUCUGGGAGCGAGAGUUCAAUCCUCGGCGGAGCCC